UAUACCCAUAGGCUCAGCAGGACAACAAAGAACCUGUCAGGAUUCUUGCAGAAGAGCUGCCUGCAUUCUGUGACUAGAGGCUGGCUGCUCACUACAAGGAUGGUGUGCCGGAAAAUCCAGCUCCAAAUAAAACUGGAUGACCUUGAGGGACAUUUAGAUCCUGCACCUGUCCUGAGGUCUUCUUCAGGAUGCUCCCCAGUGCCCUUGAACCCUUUCUCUCCAGAACCUCUGCACCUUUAGAUUAACAGACGACAGGCUCUUCUGAAGAUCCUGCUGCCUUGAGCUUCAGCUGGCUGGAGUGGAAUCUUUCACUGAGAUUUCAGAUGAGGACAUUGAGGCAGAGAGUGGAUAAGGAGCUUGUCUGAGUUUACACAGCGGAUAGAGGCAGACCUGGAACUGAAGCCCCGUCUUGCAUCAUUUCUUCUUUUAAAGCACUAGCAAAUCUUUCCACCAAAGAACAGAGGACCAUCUCAUCAGGAAACUGGGCCACAGAUGAGAAAUGAGGCGCACUGGAUAUGUCACCCGCUUUGCAACUGCCCCAGGUCUGAAGUUCACUUCUGGGGUACAUCUCCAUGAGUUUGCCAAGACCUGUCCACAGGGACUCCCUGGCUGAUAGUGCACAUCUCUUCCCAAGUCCAGUUCUGGGAAUGGCCACGGGAGGACUACUGACACCAUGAAGUCGGCAAAUGCUACAACUCAAGAUAUGCAUGUGUGCAUGUGAUCUUUCAAGUGCCAGCUUACCAGCCUGUCACUGCACACGCUAUGGGCUGCCUCCCUGAGAGACACAGUGACAAGCCUCGUGCCAUUCUGCUUUCUCCAGUAACUGCAUUUAGGAUAAUGCAGAGUACACACUUGUCUUCGCUCAUGAUUCCCUCCAGAGCUAUUAUCAUCUGUCAAGCAGAACUUUCAUUAUGAACAUUUUCCCUCCAAAGAGGCACUAAACCACUGAAGUUAACUGACUCACGACUUCCCUCAUCACAGGCACAGACCCAGCAUCUCUUCACAUCUGCUGACUCCCUCCCCAAAAUUCCCAGCUUGCAUUUUUGCUUCAUUCUUCCUCUCAGCUCUGUUGAAUCCUUUACUCCUGGCAUCAAUUAGAGCUACAGUUAUAUUUGCCUUUGAAUCCUAGUGGAAUUCCCUUUAAGCCUCAGUUUUACCAUCUGUAAAAUGGGGAGCAUAGUAGAACCCAAUCUCAUGGAGUCAAUGAAGAUUAAACUUUUAAAAGUAUAUAAAGCAUACAUCAGACAUCUAGACAAAAGAAGUUGCUGUGAUUCACACCUAUAAGCAAAUGGCUCUGUCGUGAUACUUUGACACUUUCCCAAUGCCUGCUCCCAGACAGGAAUAAUAUAACUACACGUGAUUCAUAUUCUCCAAUCACUCUCUUUAUGAUACGUGGCGCCAUCUAUGCACCAAAGCUAUGAAAAUGUCAAAACUGUUUCACCACAUGGAGACCAAGCACCUAGCAUUAAAAGUCAAGCCUUUGGAAUAUGAACAUGAAACAGAAGCAACUAUUGAAGGCCACCACUUCAUCAAAAGUGUCUGCAUUGAGAGCAUCAUUCUUAGUGGCUAACCACAUUGCCAAAGCUAAGAAGUCCUCUGCCAUUGGUUAAGAGUUAACUCUGCCUGCUGCUAAGUAUAUUUGUCAAGCACUUUUAGGAGAAGCUCCGUUUCAAAGGUGGCACAAGUUCCUGUUUUGGCUAGCACCAUAACUAGAUGAACUGAUGAAAUAGCAGAGGAUUUUAAGGUACAGCUGUUAGAAAGGAUUAAUGAGUCACUGUGCUACAAAAUUCAGGUUGAUGAGUCUACAAAUUCUGAGAACAAGGCAACCAAUAAUGUUUGUUUUGUGUGAUGCAUUUUUUCAGGAGGGUGUGCACUAUAUUAUGUGCACUUUUGUUAGCAACUAAAACGACAGUUGCAAAACUAUCCAGUCUUCAAAUGAUUACAUACAAGGAAAAUGGAAUUGAUCAUUUUAUGUCAGUGUAUGCACCAAUAGAUGCUGCCAUGACUCCAUGGCUUUCUGGUUUCACUGCUGCCAUGGGGUCGCAUGGCUGAAGGGUUCAAGGAAGUUGCUUCCUGAGUGUGAGUCUACACACUGUGUCACACAUAGAGAAACACUGGCUAGCCAAAAGAAUGUCACCUGGACUUAUCAUUCUGCCGAAUGCAAAAAAAUUAUCCACCCAUUCAAGUACAUACCCUUAACUCAUGUCUGUUCACAAAAUUCUGUGGGGAAAUGGACACAGAGCUCAAGCACCUUCCCUUAUACACAGAAGUGAAGUAGUAAAUCACUGCCAGAGUUUUUGAAUUACAAGAGCUGCUCCAGAGAUUUCUUUAGAGAAAUGUUCACCCAAGCAGCACAUUUCAGUAUUUUCAGGACAACUGUAAGUCUCUGUACAUUCUGGAUUAAAGUCAAGGUAGAAUGUCCUGAUAUUGCCACAAAAGCACUGAAUAACCUGCUUUUACUUUCAACAUCCUAUCUUUGUGAAGCAGGGUUUUCUGCAGUAGCAGCCACCAAAAUGGAAUUAUAAACUAGACUGUACAUAAGUAACAUACGUGUCACUGUCUCCCAUAACCCUCAUAUGGGACUGUAUAGUUUCAAGAAAACAAGAUUAGAGUUUCCAAUGAUUCUGCAUUAUGGUGAGUUGUACAAUUAUUUCACUAUAUGUUGCAAUGAAAUAAUAGUAGAAACAAAAUCCACAAUGAAUAUAAUUCUUGAUCACACACACACACACACACACACACACACACACACACACACAGUCUGUGCAAUUUGGUACCAGUCCCUGGCCUAGAUGUUUGCAGGUUUAUAGCAAUAAAUCCAUUCAUCACAAUGAACUGUGAUGCAUUUGUCCAUAUCAAGGGAUGAACAAAGGAGGCUGGUUAGAAAGAGAAAGCAGAGACCCUCUUGAGAGAACUUCCUGUAAAAGGUGCGAGAGCAUAGGAGGGUGUAUGCUGAAGUAGAGGUGUACAUGUGAGUUGACAAAACCAAAUUAUACAGAGUCCUGGAAGUUUUACUAUGUACCUCCUGCUGAGAGAAUGUGUCUUGGGUAGAAAGUGCUCUCCAUCUUUCCAUGAAUAUGUUGCCUGGGUGGAUUAACAAAGAUCUGCUGGGGUGAGUGAAGGUUACUGCUUGACAGCAACACAUUCCUACAAGUCCAUUAGUGCUUUGAAGCUCAGUUAUGCCAGCAUACAAAGAAAGUCAUAAAAGAAAAAACCUGAGACCACCCAUUGGUGGUCACAGCUUACAGCUCACCUCUCAGGGAUGACUGAUGUCAGGGCAAGGACAGAUGCCCCCGCUUUCUGUGUUUCUGGGAGAAGAUUAGCCUGUUUCUAUGGACAAUGGUAUCUCCAACAACUCCAGUAUUGAGAAGAACAUUCUCACUACAAAGUGAUACCCUGUGAAAAUUUCUGCCUCAAAGUUAUUGUGUGGCCCAGGCUUAGCUAGCAAUGAAGUCCUAAGUGACCAGGAGUGAUUUGUAGACUCAAGGAAACAUCCUUAGGGAGUUUCAGAAAAACAAAAUGUGGGGACAGAAUUCUGGAAGCAAUUCACUAUUUUGCAGCCAGCCAAGAUAUUUUCUUAACUUUUGUCUCGUUUGUGUGAGCAGGCAAGUGAAACACGGUUAUUUCUAUUAAACAUCCUUGACUAUCCUGCUAAAGUCACUAGAGGAAGUUUGAGGAUGGUGCCAUGAAAACAGAGCAACAAUGUCAGACCAUCUCACCAGAUAUUACACAACUCAGUAAGAUAAAUCAUAUAGAGGCAAUCAUUGCAAUAGCUUCCAUUUUAGAGUAUCACAGAAACGUCUUCAAGAGAAAUGAUCCCAUGCCUUUGGCAGAAGAGUUGGACUAAGUAUGGAAGCCAAAUAAUCAUCUGCCAACACAGAGGUGUCAACGCACCUAUCUUCUCUCCUCCCUGCGGAAACUUCCCUAAAACAUAGGUGAGAAACAAAAUGUGGCACAAACGCAGAGAUAGAAAGAGACUUGGAGAAGACAUGAAAGCAUGCAAUUGAUGUCAACAAGAACUGAGAACUGCAAUGAGAUGGAUUGAAGGUGACAAAUAGAUCAGGGAAAGCUGAAACUUUAAACUGCAGUAGAGGAAGCCACAAAAACAAGCUGUGUUACCCUGAAGAAACAAGGCAUUCAAGAUACAGAUCCUCUCAAAAGGCAAGAAAAAUGGAAAUGAUUGAAAGAAUUUAAAUGUAGCAUUUAGAUUCCCCAGAUUCUGUCCUUACCUAAUGCCAUCAAUGAUUGUUCUUCCCCCAUUACCUGAGAACACAGGAAGUCAAAGAGAGACUUUGGACUCUAAACACCACAGGGCAGAAUGAGAGUCUGACUGCAAAAUGGAAAUGGAAGUGAACGGCUGCAUCCUGGACAUGAGGCCUCAAUUUUCCCCCACACUGACUGAUAGAAGAUUGGCAGCCAAGGCAGAGGAUUUGAGAUGAGCUGUCCAACAUGGUAGCUACUAACCACAGUGCUAUUUAAAUAAAAUAAUACAUUUAAAUAAAAUUAAGAAUUCACACUAUCAUUCUCUCUAGCCACAGUUCAAAUGUUUAAUAGCCAUAUGCGACUAAGAGCCAUGGUACUGGUCAGUGCUGAUGUUGAGCUUUUCCAUCACCAUACAGGGUCCAA